rnacentral:rRNA from 1 species
GACGAACGCUGGCGGCGUGCUUAACACAUGCAAGUCGAACGGAAAGGCCCUGCUUGCAGGGUACUCGAGUGGCGAACGGGUGAGUAACACGUGGGUUAUCUGCCCUGCACUUCGGGAUAAGCCUGGGAAACUGGGUCUAAUACCGGAUAGGAGCCAUUUUUAGUGUGAUGGUUGGAAAGUUUUUUCGGUGUAGGAUGAGCUCGCGGCCUAUCAGCUUGUUGGUGGGGUAAUGGCCUACCAAGGCGGCGACGGGUAGCCGGCCUGAGAGGGUGGACAGCCACAUUGGGACUGAGAUACGGCCCAGACUCCUACGGGAGGCAGCAGUGGGGAAUAUUGCACAAUGGGCGCAAGCCUGAUGCAGCGACGCCGCGUGGGGGAUGACGGCCUUCGGGUUGUAAACUCCGUUCGCUAGGGACGAAGCUUUUUGUGACGGUACCUAGAGAAGAAGCACCGGCUAACUACGUG